UACGGAGGAUGCGAGCGUUAUCCGGAUUUAUUGGGUUUAAAGGGUGCGCAGGCGGCACGGCAAGCCGGCGGUCAAAUCGCGGGGCUCAACCCCGCCCAGCCGUCGGAACUGCCGGGCUAGAGUGGGCGAGAAGUGCGCGGAAUGCGUGGUGUAGCGGUGAAAUGCAUAGAUAUCACGCAGAACUCCGAUUGCGAAGGCAGCGCACCGGCUCCACACUGACGCUGAGGCACGAAAGCGUGGGUAUCGAACAGG
rnacentral:rRNA from 1 species